rnacentral:lncRNA from 1 species
AAAAAAAGCAGCUGCAGGCAAGAGGGGAGUAGAGGAGGCAGGAGACCAAGGCAGAGGCCUGAGAGAGGGAAGAGAGCCGCCUACCUGUUGACAAGCAGGAAGUUGGCCACCAGGCACAGCAUGGAGGGCACGGUGGAGGCAACGGCAAGGUAGCUCUCAAAGUAGUUCUGCAAGCACACAAGUGAGGAGGUGCUGCGGUCACUCAGGGAUGGAGGAAAAGUUCUAAAAUGAGGUGUGGUGGCAGACUCUAAGGUGGCCCGUGAUCCCUGCCUCCUGGUGCUCACACCUGUGCGAUGCCCUCCCCUGAGUGUGGAUGAGACCUGUGGCUGCUUCCAACCGAGAGAGUGGAGCAAACAUGAGGUGUUACAUAGGACUGUAGCACCCACAUUGCUGGACUCUUUUCCUCCCUUGCCAGAUUUGGGGAGGCAAGUGGCCAUGUUGGGGAACCCUACCUGGCAUGGAACCCCAAGUUGCUGAGGACGGUCUCCAGCCCUCUCCCCGCAAGAAACUGAAGCUCUCAGGCCUACAACCACUAGGAACUGAAUUCUGCCAACAACUGGAGUGGGCUUGGAAGUGACCUUUCUCCAGCUAAGCCUCAGAGGAGACUGUAGCUCUGGCUGACUGAUUGCAGCCUUGUGCAAAUUCAGGCAGGAGACCCAGCUAAGCUGUGCCUGGACUUCUG